rnacentral:lncRNA from 1 species
UAUGUAUAUGACUUAUAUAUAAUAAAUUAUAAAAUACACACAAAAAUAAGACCCAUCUAAAUUAUAGAGAGUCGAUUCUUAGAGCCGAAUCUUUCAAAACCGACUCAUUACUGUCUCGGUGGUUUAGCUGCUGAGUUUGUUGAAGGAGAGAGGCGACUGAGGAGCGAAAUACCGAUGCCAAAAUGAACCGGAUUCGGAUCCACGUGGUGCCGUCCAGCCGAGGCAGGGUCACCCAGAGAAGCUGCUCUCGAUCCAGUCUCGAUCCGACCCAGCUAUCAGAUAUACUACUUUUAUUUGAACUAAACUGCUGAUAACGCACAGUUUAAUCUGAUAUAUUAACCACAGCUAUGAACAAAGGCUGUCUUUGCUGCUCCAUGCUGUUUACACACAUGGUCUGUGCUGUGUUCACUGCACAUCUGUGUUAAAGCAGUUUAGGUUUAUACAUAUGUGAAACCAAACCAAACAAAGGGAGAAAAUGCUACAAGUAAAGGAACAUCAACUCAUCCGGACUAUAGAAACCAACUACAGGUGUGAAAACGCCUUAUGUGUUCAACAAGAACGGCAAGCGUUGUCCCAGUGCAGCACAGAAACCCCAGAAAAGAAGGACGGGCCCACUCAGUACGACAGAGCCAGAGAUGCAUUUCCUGUGUGGAAGGGACGCGAUGCUCAAACCAGUGGCUGCCAAUGACACGACAUUGUGUUUCUCGUAUCCUUUUCUAGCACACUGUGCAUAAUUUAGCAUCUUUUUAUAUUUAGCCACAAUCAUGUACAGCACUGGUUGCCAGGUCUGAUCCUGGAGGACCUGCUUGCCAACCCUCUGUGGUGGUUUCCUACUCUACCACACUACCUUUAAUUCAGGCUUGCUGAUUGGCUGAUUUGCUGGAUGAUUUGCUAUUGAUUAUUCAUAUCCUGUGCACUUUUACUGUCAGCAUGGUUACUGUGGUAUUAGCAUCACUAUUCACAAUCAUUUCAGUGGUCUUGUUCAGCAUUACUACUACAGUGUAAGCAAUACUAUUGUAGUGAAUGCAUUGCUAUUGCUGUAUUAGCAUUGUUCUCUGUGUGUUAGCAUCACUACCCCAGUGUUAGUCCCAUGCCUUGUUGAACAGGGCCCUUCAUAUUAGUGCUGGGCAGUUUUCACAAUUAAUUUGUUUAAUCAAAUGUUUUUAAUGUUUUUAAUCUGAUAUACCUGAAAACGCUCCUCAUUUCUGAAGUGUUUAUCUUCCUAACUUGGUUACUAACAUCUCCGACAGACUAACUUUAAAUAAUA